UAGGGUACUGAGGUGGCAGCUGCAUGG
rnacentral:piRNA from 1 species